rnacentral:rRNA from 1 species
UAAGCAUAUCAAUAAGCGGAGGAAAAGAAACCAACAGGGAUUGCCUCAGUAACGGCGAGUGAAGCGGCAACAGCUCAAAUUUGAAAUCUGGCCCCAGGCCCGAGUUGUAAUUUGCAGAGGAUGCUUUUGGCGCGGUGCCUUCCGAGUUCCCUGGAACGGGACGCCAUAGAGGGUGAGAGCCCCGUACGGUUGGACACCAAGCCUUUGUAAAGCUCCUUCGACGAGUCGAGUAGUUUGGGAAUGCUGCUCUAAAUGGGAGGUAUAUUUUCUUCUAAAGCUAAAUAUAGGCCAGAGACCGAUAGCGCACAAGUAGAGUGAUCGAAAGAUGAAAAGCACUUUGAAAAGAGGGUUAAACAGCACGUGAAAUUGUUAAAAGGGAAGCGCUUGUGACCAGACUUGCGUCCGGUGAAUCACCCAGCUCUCGCGGCUGGGGCACUUUGCCGGCACAGGCCAGCAUCAGCUCGCUGUCGGGGACAAAAGCUUCGGGAACGUAGCUCUCUUCGGGGAGUGUUAUAGCCCGUUGCAUAAUACCCUUCGGUGGGCUGAGGUACGCGCUCCGCAAGGAUGCUGGCGUAAUGGUCAUCAGCGACCCGUCUUGAAACACGGACCAAGGAGUCAACCUUAUGUGCGAGUGUUUGGGUGUUAAACCCCUACGCGUAAUGAAAGUGAACGCAGGUGAGAGCUUCGGCGCAUCAUCGACCGAUCCUGAUGUUCUCGGAUGGAUUUGAGUAAGAGCAUAUAGGGUUGGACCCGAAAGAAGGUGAACUAUGCGUGUAUAGGGUGAAGCCAGAGGAAACUCUGGUGGAGGCUCGCAGCGGUUCUGACGUGCAAAUCGAUCGUCAAAUAUGCGCAUGGGGGCGAAAGACUAAUCGAA